UAUGAAAAAGCGAAAGGAAAAAUCUGAUACUAUGGAGCUCUUAUGAAUUUAAUAUCUUUUCUUUUCAUACAGUACUAAAUAACUCUAAUCAUCUAUAUUGAAUUGCGAAAUUCUCUAAGAUUAUGUCCGGAACAUUGGUGUCAUCAGUAAAACAAGAGAGAUAAAAUUGGUACAGAAAUCAAAUAUUCACUGAACAAGUACAAUUCUUGAUAUUGACUUGGUGGUCGCAAUCACAAAUCCUGAAUGCCAGGUUUGUUGGUAAACUGGUUGGUCGCUAUUAUGAUUGUGAAGGAAAUCCUACCAAAUCUUUGAAGGGAGUCGAAGCAAAGGCUGCAAGAGGCACCCAGCUUCUGGAGAAACAGAAAAAAGAGGAGGCCAAACAGCCUAGUUGCAAUUCGAGGUAGAGCCAGGAAGAGGGUGGAGAGGUCUGGUGUGAUGAUGGCUUCCCAAGGUUAGUGCGGAGACCACUAGAAAUUGCUUUGACUGGGAAGAUGAGCAAGCGAUGCGCUUGCUUUAAGGAAGAUCAACUAAGCGAGACAGGCUAGAAGUGUAUGAAGGAUGUGAUUAUCUUUCCAAGACAUGCCGUGUUUGAACUAGCGACACGAUGCGUGUAAUUAAAUUAUCGUGGUAUGUACAUUGCUUACAAGUUCUUGCCUCCAUGGAUAGUUUUAAGGCAGCAGAAAGAAAUAUCGUGUUUCAUUUCUUUGGUGCAGCUUUAGAUGGUUUUGAAUAUUUACCAAUGUGCCAUGUUAAUGUGAUUAUACUCGUUCAUCUUCAUAACAGAAGCAAGGGAGGGAUCACCACCUCACCGCCAUUUUCUAGGAUGAUACAGUUUGGGAAUGGAACCUCUCACAUUGGCCUCA